AUAAUCCCAUUUUUUGUCUCUCCCUGGAUUUUUGAUGUUGAUAUUAUAGCUGUUUAUAGCCCCAAUAUUUUUUCCCCUCUUUGAAAAAACUGUCCUUUUUUGGUUUUAUUGCGCCAAAUGUUCUAUAAAUUACAGAAAAUAAACUUCUCAUUAAAAUUAGAAACAAAUACUGCCAAGUAAAGUGGGAUACCAUCAAAAUUUAAUUGCGAAUAUAGAAAAAUAUUAUAUAUCCUAGUCAGCAGUCAUAUUCAAUACAUCAUGAGGUUAUAAUCAUUGAUGAUUCUAAAAUGGAUAAGUCUAUAUUACAUGCAAUUGUAUUUGGAAUUAUCUGGUGAUCUGAUCACUUGAUCGAUGAACAGACAACCACAGAAAAUAAAGAGAUGGGAAAUUUUGUAGUUAGAAAUUCCAUGUAUAACAAGAAUUUCUCUCGUGCCAAUUUUGAAGGUUCAAAGUUGCAACCUAGUAGUUGCAAUUUCAACAUACAUCAAAAUAUAAGAUUUUAACUAGACUAACUAAACAUUCUCUCCAGCUCUAUAUUUUCCUCUUCCAAUAAAUAUAAAUAUAUAUAUAUAUAUAUAUAUAUAGACGGGCAAGACAAAAACAUGCAGCAGGUCCAUCCCAUAAAAAGUGGAGUACGUAAUUGGAUUUUGCUUGCAUAUAUGCAAGUAGUCACGCAGAAAAAAAAGGACAGAUUAAGAUCACAAACAGUAAUAUGUGGUCACACAUUGAACGAAUAGUAUUUUUCCACAUAUAGUACAUUUAGCCAACAAUAAACAAGAUUAUGUAAAUGCAGUUAAUCAAGAAAAAGAUUUAUUAAAAAAUAAAAUGGUAUAGUGGAGUUACAUACAGCUCCUAAACUCAAAGAACUGGAGGUCAUAUCAACUAUGACUUGUUAGAGUAAAAGAAACACAAUUCUCGGUUUCCAUGGGCACAAGGCCUUUCACAUAUUCACCAGAAAGAAGAAAUGCAUGCACAUAUGUACAGAGACAGAAAGGAAAGUGUUUUACUUACAAUUUAAAGCUGAGAGAGUAAAUUAAGAACUGAUUCUGAUCUUGUUGCUCUUCAGUAUAAUGUCUAAUGACAUGAGUCCAUACUUAUGGAGAAAAUGCUGUGAGGGUGUGAAAUUCAAGAAUCUUUGUGGGGUUUUGUAAGGAAAAUUAAAGAGGAGGAGGUGUACUAUUAUGGGAGGUGGGAGAGGGGGAAGCGGGGGGAGAAGGGUUGCUAAGUCCUUUUGGUAUGUCAAGGGCCAUGAAAAGUGGGAACAGCUCCCAACCAAGUAACUCAUUAGUCUCUAAGAAUUGGAC
rnacentral:lncRNA from 1 species